rnacentral:miRNA from 1 species
UUAAUCAACUCAGUAUGAACAGA